rnacentral:rRNA from 1 species
UACGAAGGGGGCUAGCGUUGCUCGGAAUUACUGGGCGUAAAGCGCACGUAGGCGGCUUUCUAAGUCGGGGGUGAAAUCCUGGAGCUCAACUCCAGAACUGCCUUCGAUACUGGAAAGCUCGAGUCCGGGAGAGGUGAGUGGAACUGCGAGUGUAGAGGUGAAAUUCGUAGAUAUUCGCAAGAACACCAGUGGCGAAGGCGGCCCACUGGCCCGGUACUGACGCUGAGGUGCGAAAGCGUGGGGGGCAAACAGG